GAUCCUGGCUCAGGAUGAACGCUAGCUACAGGCUUAACACAUGCAAGUCGAGGGGCAGCAUUUCAGUUUGUUCGCAAACUGAAGAUGGCGACCGGCGCACGGGUGAGUAACACGUAUCCAACCUGCCGAUAACUCGGGGGAUAGCCUUUCGAAAGAAAGAUUAAUACCGGAUGGCAUAUGAUUAUCGCAUGAUAAUCCUAUUAAAGAAUUUCGGUUAUCGAUGGGGAUGCGUUCCAUUUAG
rnacentral:rRNA from 1 species